rnacentral:siRNA from 1 species
AUUCGGCUGAACUAAAUUGGAUCA